GGCGAGCUUGGCGUGUGCGGCCUGGAUGUCGGCCUUGCCCGGGUCGUGGAAGGGCUCCGGUUCGGGGCCGGGGUCCUCCUC
rnacentral:tRNA from 1 species